rnacentral:misc_RNA from 1 species
UCUCUCUAUUACUAACCGAGAAACCCACAGAAGAUUUAAAUCUAUCUUCACCAAAGAUCACUCCCAUAUUGAUAAUCUCUGGUUCUUCAGUGGGUUUCUCGGUUAGUAAUAGAGAGAAGUUGGAAAAUAUGCUCUUGGCAGUUGGUUCACCGCACCUGUUGCAAUCUAGAGUGAUAACAGUCUUGACAAUCCCAUCAAGCCUCCACUUUUGCUUCUUCCUUGUCACAUCAAUGGAGAUCUGAACAGGAGUUCCAAGUGGAUAAUCCUUCACAGCUUUUGUGACACGUAAUCCCAUAAUUGAAGCCCUUGACUUUGAAAUCUCAGUUGAAAGUUUCUCUAGGCCCAGCCUCUCCAAGGUUGUACAGUACUCUAAAUGUGAAAUUGAAGGGUUUCUC